AAGUUCGACGGGCCCCGCACAAGCAGCGGAGCGUGUGGUUUAAUUCGAUGCUACACGAAGAACCUUACCUGGGUUUGACAUAUAGGUUGUAGGGAACUGAAAAGGGACCGACCUUCGGGAGCCUAUACAGGUGUUGCAUGGCUGUCGUCAGCUCGUGUCGUGAGAUGUUCGGUUAAGUCCGCUAACGAGCGCAACCCUCGUCGUAUGUUAUAUGUGUCAUACGAGACUGCCGGUAAAAGCCGGAGGAAGGUGAGGAUGAUGUCAAGUCAGCAUGACCUUUAUAUCCAGGGCUACACACACGCUACAAUGGUCUGUACAACGGGUAGCCAAGCCGCGAGGCGGAGCCAAUCCUGAAAGCAGGCCUCAGUUCAGAUUGCAGGCUGCAACCCGCCUGCAUGAAGUCGGAGUUGCUAGUAACCGCGCGUCAGCACAGUGCGGUGAAUACGUUCCCGGGCCUU
rnacentral:rRNA from 1 species